GACGAACGCUGGCGGCGUGCUUAACACAUGCAAGUCGUACGGUAAGGCCCUUUCGGGGGUACACGAGUGGCGAACGGGUGAGUAACACGUGAGUAACCUGCCCACAACUUUGGGAUAACGCUAGGAAACUGGUGCUAAUACUGGAUAUGUGCCCCUGCUGCAUGGUGGGGGUUGGAAAGCUCCGGCGGUUGUGGAUGGACUCGCGGCCUAUCAGCUUGUUGGUGGGGUAGUGGCCUACCAAGGCGGCGACGGGUAGCCGGCCUGAGAGGGUGACCGGCCACAUUGGGACUGAGAUACGGCCCAGACUCCUACGGGAGGCAGCAGUGGGGAAUAUUGCACAAUGGGCGCAAGCCUGAUGCAGCAACGCCGCGGGCGGGAUGACGGCCUUCGGGUUGUAAACCGCUUUCAGCAGGGACGAAGCUUUUUGUGACGGUACCUGCAGAAGAAGCACCGGCUAACUACGUG
rnacentral:rRNA from 1 species